rnacentral:rRNA from 1 species
AGCGAACGCUGGCGGCAGGCCUAACACAUGCAAGUCGAACGAAGUCUUCGGACUUAGUGGCGGACGGGUGAGUAACACGUGGGAACGUACCUUUAGGUUCGGAACAACUCAGGGAAACUUGAGCUAAUACCGGAUAAGCCCUUCGGGGGAAAGAUUUAUCGCCUUUAGAGCGGCCCGCGUUAGAUUAGCUAGUUGGUGAGGUAAAGGCUCACCAAGGCUACGAUCUAUAGCUGGUCUGAGAGGAUGAUCAGCCACACUGGGACUGAGACACGGCCCAGACUCCUACGGGAGGCAGCAGUGGGGAAUCUUGCGCAAUGGGCGAAAGCCUGACGCAGCCAUGCCGCGUGAAUGAUGAAGGUCUUAGGAUUGUAAAAUUCUUUUACCAGGGACGAUAAUGACGGUACCUGGAGAAAAAGCCCCGGCUAACUUCGUGCCAGCCGCCGCGGUAACAC